rnacentral:rRNA from 1 species
CAAUAGCGUAUAUUAAAGUUGUUGCAGUUAAAAAGCUCGUAGUUGGAUUUCUGAUCGAGACAUCAGGUCGGGUCCGAGAGGAUCAUGUACUUUGAUUUUGUUUUGAUCAUCCUUGGGGAGAGCAUUUCUGGCAUUCAGUUGUCGGGAUUGGGAUCCUCAUCGUUUACUGUGAAAAAAUUAGAGUGUUCAAAGCAGGCCUCGGCCUCUGAAUACAUUAGCAUGGAAUAAUAAGAUAGGACUUUGGUGGUCUAUUUUGUUGGUUUGCACGCCAAAGUAAUGAUUAAUAGGGAUAGUUGGGGGUAUUCGUAUUCAAUUGUCAGAGGUGAAAUUCUUGGAUGUAUGGAAGACGAACUACUGCGAAAGCAUUUACCAAGGAUGUUUUCAUUAA